rnacentral:rRNA from 1 species
CCUACGGCUGGCAGCAGUGGGGAAUAUUGGACAAUGGGCGAAAGCCUGAUCCAGCCAUGCCGCGUGUGUGAAGAAGGCCUUCGGGUUGUAAAGCACUUUCAGUGGGGAAGAAAGCCUUGGGGCUAAUACCCUCGAGGAAGGACAUCACCCACAGAAGAAGCACCGGCUAACUCCGUGCCAGCAGCCGCGGUAAUACGGAGGGUGCGAGCGUUAAUCGGAAUUACUGGGCGUAAAGCGCGCGUAGGCGGUCUGAUAAGCCGGUUGUGAAAGCCCCGGGCUCAACCUGGGAACGGCAUCCGGAACUGUCAGGCUAGAGUGCAGGAGAGGAAGGUAGAAUUCCCGGUGUAGCGGUGAAAUGCGUAGAGAUCGGGAGGAAUACCAGUGGCGAAGGCGGCCUUCUGGACUGACACUGACGCUGAGGUGCGAAAGCGUGGGUAGCAAACAGGAUUAGAUACCCUUGUAGUC